UAGACACCCAGGAAGAUUUGGCAUUGCUUGACAACAGUUUGAGGCAGGAUAAAGAGCUCCAGCAACGAUUUCUUCGGUUUUUGGCAAUCAAAUGUGGGAGGGACCUAAAGACAACCGUGUGGCGAAUGCUUCAGAGUAUCUUCUCUAAUCACCUUUCCAUCAAUACAACCUGGACUGGUGUAGGGGAUAAAGCAUGUUUUAGAGACAUGUUCCUGAAGACCAUUGUUCAAAGAGCCAUCCGGAAGAACACGGCAACCCAGGAUGCCACUGAUGAGGCGAUCCAGGUUAACGUUACGCGUUACCUGAAAGGAGCAUCUGAACGUGAAGGUGGAAAAA